rnacentral:rRNA from 1 species
GUGCACGCUGGCGGUAGGCCUAACACAUGCAAGUCGAACGGCAGCACAGUAAGCGCUUGCUCUUACGGGUGGCGAGUGGCGGACGGGUGAGGAAUACAUCGGAAUCUACUUUUUCGUGGGGGAUAACGUAGGGAAACUUACGCUAAUACCGCAUACGACCUACGGGUGAAAGCAGGGGAUCUUCGGACCUUGCGCGAUUGAAUGAGCCGAUGUCGGAUUAGCUAGUUGGCGGGGUAAAGGCCCACCAAGGCGACGAUCCGUAGCUGGUCUGAGAGGAUGAUCAGCCACACUGGAACUGAGACACGGUCCAGACUCCUACGGGAGGCAGCAGUGGGGAAUAUUGGACAAUGGGCGCAAGCCUGAUCCAGCCAUACCGCGUGGGUGAAGAAGGCCUUCGGGUUGUAAAGCCCUUUUGUUGGGAAAGAAAAGCAGCAGGUUAAUACCCCGCUGUUCUGACGGUACCCAAAGAAUAAGCACCGGCUAACUUCGUG